rnacentral:rRNA from 1 species
UGCGUAGGCGGAUAAAUAAGUCAGUGGUGAAAUCUUCCGGCUCAACCGGGAAACUGCCAUUGAUACUGUUAGUCUUGAGUUCGGUUGAGGUAGGCGGAAUGUGUAAUGUAGCGGUGAAAUGCUUAGAUAUUACACAGAACACCAAUUGCGUAGGCAGCUUACUAGACCGACACUGACGCUGAGGCACGAAAGCGUGGGGAGCGAACAGGAUUAGAUACCCUGGUAGUCC